UCCGGUUUGUCACCGGCAGUCUCCUUAGAGUUCCCACCAUUACGUGCUGGCAACUAAGGACAAGGGUUGCGCUCGUUGCGGGACUUAACCCAACAUCUCACGACACGAGCUGACGACAGCCAUGCAGCACCUGUGUUCUGGUUCCCGAAGGCACAACCGCAUCUCUGCAGUCUUCCAGACAUGUCAAGACCAGGUAAGGUUCUUCGCGUUGCAUCGAAUUAAACCACAUACUCCACCGCUUGUGCGGGCCCCCGUCAAUUCCUUUGAGUUUCAGUCUUGCGACCGUACUCCCCAGGCGGCGAACUUAACGCGUUAGCUUCGACACUGAGCUCCGAGUUGAGCCCAACAUCCAGUUCGCAUCGUUUAGGGCGUGGACUAC
rnacentral:misc_RNA from 1 species